CUACGGGAGGCAGCAGUCGAGAAUCAUUCGCAAUGGACGAAAGUCUGACGGUGCGACGCCGCGUGGAGGAUGAAGGCCCUAGGGUCGUAAACUCCUGUCAUCAGGGAGUAAAAACUUACGUAGUAACUGACGUAGGUCUUGAUAGUACCUGAAGAGGAAGGGACGGCAAACUUCGUGCCAGCAGCCGCG
rnacentral:rRNA from 1 species